AGCCGUUCUUGGAUGACUCACCCCAGAAUCGGGCUCCCUUCUCUCUGGUUCCGGGUGCAUCACCCGAGAACCACA
rfam:Myotis brandtii contig304337, whole genome shotgun sequence.